AGCUGCAAACUAAGUUAACUUCUGUAAAAACUUCAUCAGAAUCUAGAGAUCCUUUUUCACCACUGCUGUGUGUUUGAGCUGGAACAGCAAAAAAGAUGGCUGGAAUUCAAACUAUAUUUACACUUUUUGUGGUCUGUCUGAUGAAGGGUUUUCUGUGCAUACAGACUAAGAGAGAGUUUAAUAUCAGAAUACCAGAGACUGUUGAGGUUCUGACUGGAUCAUGUUUGACCAUCCCUUGUUCCUUUGAUAUAAGAGAAGAAUAUGAUGGGAAUUUAAAUAAAGACUGUGAAGGAAAAUGGG